GUAUGCAACUUGCCCUUAUCAGGAGGAUAGCCCGGGGAAACUCGGAUUAAUACUCCAUAAGAUUUUGAUUGGCAUCGAUUAAAAUGAAAGAUUUAUUGGAUAAGGAUAGGCAUGCGUCAGAUUAGUUAGUUGGUAGUGUAACGGACUACCAAGGCGAUGAUCUGUAGGGGGCCUGAGAGGGUGAACCCCCACACUGGUACUGAGACACGGACCAGACUCCUACGGGAGGCAGCAGUGAGGAAUAUUGGACAAUGGAGGGAACUCUGAUCCAGCCAUCCCGCGUGCAGGAAGACGGCCCUAUGGGUUGUAAACUGCUUUUGUAUGGGGAUAAAUCUACUUACGUGUAGGUAGUUGAAGGUACCAUACGAAUAAGCAUCGGCUAACUCCGUGCCAGCAGCCGCGGUAAUACGGAGGAUGCAAGCGUUAUCCGGAUUCAUUGGGUUUAAAGGGUCCGUAGGCGGGCUGAUAAGUCAGUGGUGAAAUUUUGUCGCUCAACGAUAAAACUGCCAUUGAUACUGUUAGUCUUGAGUGAUAUUGAAGUAGCUGGAAUGUGUAGUGUAGCGGUGAAAUGCAUAGAUAUUACACAGAACACCGAUUGCGAAGGCAGGUUACUAA
rnacentral:rRNA from 1 species